ACUCGUUCUGUGUGGGUUGCAAUAGUUACUUUGAAAUAAUGCUGGAUGGAGUAUUAUUUAUGUACUUUUUUCCAUUGUAUUUAUGGAAUAAUCUUGAUUGGAAAGAAUGAAGAAAGAAAAUAAAGAUUCAAGAGAAGAUGUAUUUCUAGAACUGCUUUUAGUAAGAUUAAUGUAGGAUGCAAGAUUUGCAACUUUUUCAAGGCAUUAUAAAGACCAAUUCGCAUCAAAACAUCAAGAAAUAAACCAACAUCUUUUAUCCAUCUAAAUUACCCUGAAGACUCGCCAGAAAAAGCUUAAAUGACUAUAGUGAUUGCAUGAGGAAGAGGUUCAAGUUGAUUCUAGCUGUGACGAGUAGAAGAAACGUGGAAUGAGGCGAAAAGAGGAACAGGAAGGCUUCAAUCGAGCUGGAACAGACAGAACAAAAAGGAGAGUGAAAGAAAAGAACGGGGAGAAAGAAAAGUCAGGGAGCAAAAGUGUACGUGUGCAUGAAAGAACUCGAGAGGGAUGGCUCGGUUAUUUAUAGGAUUACAAUAACGUGACUUGAUAAAAUGCCAGGCGACACAGUCUUGCGCCGCGGGAAUAAUUGUGGGUGUACGCACGUGCACCACGUAACAUUAUGGCUUGAUGACUAUGCACACCCUACAGAACAAGAAUUCUACUACGUUCUGUGUAAAAAUUUUUAGAGACAGUUAGUUUAAGUUUAAGCAAUUCUGAAAAUUGCAGAGUAUUUAAAUUUUUUAAUUUUUUAGGUGUCUAGACUUUUUAAUUUUGGUUGCAGGAUUUAAUAAAAUUUUUGAACAGAUUUCAGAAUCUUUAGUU